UGGGGAAUAUUGCACAAUGGGCGCAAGCCUGAUGCAGCCAUGCCGCGUGUGUGAAGAAGGCCUUCGGGUUGUAAAGCACUUUCAGCGAGGAGGAAGGUGGUGAGCUUAAUACGCUCAUCAAUUGACGUUACUCGCAGAAGAAGCACCGGCUAACUCCGUGCCAGCAGCCGCGGUAAUACGGAGGGUGCAAGCGUUAAUCGGAAUUACUGGGCGUAAAGCGCACGCAGGCGGUUUGUUAAGUCAGAUGUGAAAUCCCCGGGCUCAACCUGGGAACUGCAUUUGAAACUGGCAAGCUAGAGUCUCGUAGAGGGGGGUAGAAUUCCAGGUGUAGCGGUGAAAUGCGUAGAGAUCUGGAGGAAUACCGGUGGCGAAGGCGGCCCCCCUGGACGAAGACUGACGCUCAGGUGCGAAAGCGUGGGGCAGCAAACAGGAUUAGAUACCCUGGUAGUCCACGCUGUAAACGAUGUCGAUUUGGAGGUUGUGCCCCUUGAGGCGUGGCUUCCGGAGCUAACGCGUUAAAUCGACCGCCUGGGGAGUACGGCCGCAAGGUUAAAACUUAAAGGAAUUGACGGGGUU
rnacentral:rRNA from 1 species